rnacentral:rRNA from 1 species
UUAGAUACCCCACUAUUAAAAAUUUAAAUGAAUGAUACGAAAAUAACAUAUAAUUAUUUAUAAAAACUAAAAUAAUUUGGCGGUAUUUUAGUUUAUUUAGAGGAAUCUGUUUAUUAAUUGAUAUUCCACGAAUAAAUUUUCUUAAUUUAUUUAAUUUUGUAUAUCGUUUUAAAUAAAAGAUUUUAAAAUAAUAAUAAUAUUUUAAUUUUAAUAUUAAAAGUAAAAUCAGAUCAAGAUGCGGAUUAUAAUUAAGAAUAUAAUGGAGUACAAUAAAUUUAUUUAAUGGGAUGUUAUUUUUAUGAUUUCAUAGAAAUUGUAUUAAAAUGUAAUUUUUUUUAAUUA